ensembl:snRNA U6 U6 spliceosomal RNA
GUGCUCACUUUGGCAGCACAUACACUAAAAUCGGAACAAUACAGAGAAGAUUCGCAUGGGCUGUGCAAGGAUGACCCACAGAUUACUGAACUGUUCCAUAUUUUU